rnacentral:sRNA from 1 species
GAUGAUUAUAUAAUACAUAUCUUAGAUAUCAAUCUGAUGAUAUGAUUGGUGGAGAUAUCGCCCCUAUCUAGUGCUGCCAAUCUAUCUAUUGCUGCAAGCUAUCCCUCAUCCCUCGCUGCUAAGCUAUCCCUCGCUGCUAAGCUAUCGCCGCUGCCAACCUAUCUAUUGCUGCAAGCUAUCCCUCGCUGCUAAGCUAUCGCUGCCAACCUAUCUUUCGCUGCCAACCUAUCUAUCGCUGCUAAGCUAUCGCUGCCAACCUAUCUAUCGCUGCCAAUCUAUCUAUCGCUGCCAACCUAUCUAUCGCUGCCAAUUUAUCUACCACUGCCAAUCUAUCUAUUGCUGCUAAUCUAUCGCUGCUGUCAAUCUAUCUAUCGCUGCUAAUCUAUCUAUCGCUGCUAAGCUAUCGCCGCUGCCAACCUAUCUAUUGCUGCAAGCUAUCCCUCGCUGCUAAGCUAUCGCUGCCAACCUAUCUAUCGCUGCCAACCUAUCUAUCGCUGCUAAGCUAUCGCUGCCAACCUAUCUAUCGCUGCCAAUCUAUCUAUCGCUGCCAAUUUAUCUACCACUGCCAAUCUAUCUAUUGCUGCUAAUCUAUUGCUGCUGUCAAUCUAUCUAUCGCUGCUAAUCUAUUGCUGCUGCUAAUCUAUCUAUCGCUGCUAAUCUAUCGCUGCUAAUCUAUCGCUGCUAAUCUAUCGCUGCCAACCUAUCUACCGCGGCGAAUCUAUCUAUCACUAUCAUUACUAGUUCAAAAUAGAACUAGAGCAUAAACACACUAAACUUCUUUUGAUAGGUAAUGAUUUUUGGUAACGCUCAUAGCAUUAUAUCAUCUAUAUAGGGUAAAUCAUGGUCCCAUUUGGUCCCAUUUUGUUAAAAUGGGACCAAAUGGGACCAGAAUCAGUAAUUUAUAAGAAGAACAUGACCUGGGACUAGAUUUAUAAUAUAAACAGUGUAAAGUGACUAAUUUAAUAAACACUAUAUGGGACCAGGACUAAGAAAUUUGAUAAUGGAACUGGA